rnacentral:tRNA from 1 species
GGAGAGGUGUCCGAGUGGUUGAAGGAGCACGCCUGGAAAGUGUGUAUACGUUAAUAGCGUAUCGAGGGUUCGAAUCCCUCCCUCUCCACCA